UGUCAGAGCCAGGUUUCGAUCGUUGAACGUGUGGGUUAUGGGCCAACCACGUUACCGCCACGCCACUUUGAU
rnacentral:tRNA from 1 species